CUUCAAACACCAUGUUUCACAUCAGAAUUUUUUUUCCACAGUGACUGACAGCUGUUGGAAGCAACAGGUCUACUAAUGGGCUUGUUCGUAUACAGAUUUUCACCUGCAUGGAAUGUGUGAUCAGCUCAGUGUUCAGAUUCCUAACCAAAUGACUCUCAGUUCUGUCAGAUGGCAUGAAACUGUACCAGUUUUUCCUUGGUGGUUGGGAGGAGGCUGGCCUGGUGAUUAUCUGCUUGGAGAAGUUUGGCGUCUCUCUUAGCCCUCACAGCAUGCUCCAAAGCCAUUCAUGACCUGUAUUCAGGAUCUCUUUCAAGAAAACUUGGGCUGGCAUAAUAUCCCUGAACCAGUCUAUACCUCCUCUCUUGAGGAAAUCACCACUCUGCAAGUCGUGACAAUCAUUCACCAUGUGCACGAUCAGGAACAUCUCAGCACUUGGAACCCAUGCAUGGAAUUCUGGUACCCAACACCUGACUUCAGCAUUUGAAGACUGAAUGUUGAAUGGAAAACCUGAAUGGUCUGGAGGAAUAAAUGAAAACGGAGCUCUGCGCUUUUCCA
rnacentral:lncRNA from 1 species